rnacentral:lncRNA from 1 species
GGGGAAUUGCAUGGAUGGUGGAAGAAGACCCUCAUCAUUAUACAAAAUACAUGUAUGAAGAUGUGAAUUUGGUGUCAAUAUAUCUUACAUACAGAAACAUAAUAAAUUGUGGUAUAAAGGUGUAUUAAGAAUUAUAAUGCAAAUAAUAAUAAUACUCAUGUAAAAAAUAAAUAAAUAAAUAAAACGGAUGUGGAGAAAAGCACCUACAUGGCCCAGAUGAGAUUGGAGGUCAUUACAGGGAAUGACCCGAGACCCAGUGUUUGCAUAACUGAUGUUUCCAAAGAACUGGAAUAGAAGCAAUGAUAAAAUGUGGAAAGUCGUAUCUCUUUUUAAAAUGAAUUUUAGAAAUGGAAAUAUUCAUAGCACACAGAAAUCUAAACAUAGACAUACUAUGUGAUUUUAAAAUUGGAAAAAUAAAUUAUUCGAGCAACCUGGUGAAAUUUAUUUAUUUAUUUAUUUCAGAUAUACAUGACAGUACAGUGUAUUCUGACAUACAUACAUGGAGAAUGAUUUACUCUAAUU